rnacentral:rRNA from 1 species
UUGAACGCUGGCGGCAGGCCUAACACAUGCAAGUCGAGCGGAUGAAGGGAGCUUGCUCCUGGAUUCAGCGGCGGACGGGUGAGUAAUGCCUAGGAAUCUGCCUGGUAGUGGGGGAUAACGUCCGGAAACGGGCGCUAAUACCGCAUACGUCCUGAGGGAGAAAGUGGGGGAUCUUCGGACCUCACGCUAUCAGAUGAGCCUAGGUCGGAUUAGCUAGUUGGUGGGGUAAAGGCCUACCAAGGCGACGAUCCGUAACUGGUCUGAGAGGAUGAUCAGUCACACUGAAACUGAGACACGUUCCAGCUCCCUACGGGAGGCAGCGGUGGGAAUUUUUGGACAUGGGCGAAAGCCUGAUCCAGCCAUGCCGCGUGUGUGAAGAAGGUCUUCGGAUUGUAAAGCACUUUAAGUUGGGAGGAAGGGCAGUAAGUUAAUACCUUGCUGUUUUGACGUUACCAACAGAAUAAGCACCGGCUAACUUCGUG